GGCCCUGUAGUCUAAUUGGUAGGAUACGGCGCUGUUAACGCCGUGGUGCUGGUUCGAGUCCAGCCGGGGCCG
rnacentral:tRNA from 1 species